AUGGGUGACACAUCAUCACACAAG
rnacentral:siRNA from 1 species